rnacentral:snRNA from 1 species
AGCUUUGCACAGUGACAGUAUCAUAGCCAAUGAGGUUUAUCUGAGACAUGAUUAUUGCUAAUAUAACUUUAUUAAAUUUCAGAAUGUGUGGGGCUUUUAUGUAAUUAAAG